CGCGAGGUGAAUGCAGGGGUCGGGACAGGCGCAGCGGGCGCGGUAGGAGCGGUCGGGGGGCCGUCGGCGACUAGCGUGCCCGAGCUGCUUGAGUGCCCUGUCUGCACCUGCUCCAUGUUCCCGCCCAUCCAUCAGAUGGGCUAUGCAAAAAUUGAUGGCUUCUAAUGCCAGCACAUUGAAUAACCAGAUUUCCAGCCAAGCAUGCAAAAACUUCUUUAUCAUGUACCCCUCUCCUAUCUGGAUCUCAAGCAAACCAUGGAUCAACAGCUUGGCUUUUCUCUCUCUGAUUUUCAGCCACGGUAUCAGGUUGACCACGGCAAGCAUGUUCAGCUAUCAGCUUGUGCAUGUAAGUAGCACAGAAGCAGGGAGCGGCGAGGUUUCAAGUCUCAGGUAAUGUCAUUUGUGAAGUGUCAUUUUCCUGCAGCAGUGUAUAUGGUAGUCUUUGUCUGCUUGUUAUUCUCUCUAUGUAAUUCCUUGGUUGAUCUUUUGAUGGAUGAUUGGUUUAAUAAAUUUUAGUGAAUGUUUGGUUUAAUCAAUUUACGUUAUUAUUUCUUCCUUGCAUGUUAAUCCCUUUGCUUGGUCAUUAUAACUUGGUUUAAUUUGAUAUGCAGUGGCAAUCAGUUCUUCCUGGAUGUAUAAUUCAUAUUCAUGUUGAUUGCCAGUGAGUUAUACUACUGCAUCAGCUCUCCGAUUUAAGAUAAUUUGAGAUGCUAACUUAUUGUAUCUGCCCGGAGCAAUCUGUUUGCCUCUUGCUUUACUUAUGAUUGGGAUUUGGAGAUGGUGCAAGGUGGAACCUUGGGAAGAGUUCAUGACUUUCUGGGGAGUCGAUGCUAAUGUGUUGUGUUAUAGCUGUGAUUUUAAAGCGUUUGCGGGUUUAAUUUUUACAGGCAAAAAUAUGCUUGCAUUCAUUCAUCCUGGAUGGGGAAACAACGUACUUGCAUGCUUGGUUAAUAAAGGAGCUUGUUCUUGAACACAGAUAGUUGUUCCGCCGGCCGCUGGGUUUAGGAAGGCGCAAAUUUGGCAGAUUGGUCAACUAAAAGCCAGCAGUCAACACUACAUACAGACAUAUCUCUUGUGGUUUCAGGUACCAAAGAGAAUGGGUGUCAUCCUUCAGGACUUCAGCUUUGAAGCUAACUGAACUUAACUCGAGCGCUUUGGCUAGCACAGUCCCUAACUUUCAGAAGAGCGUUGGUAUCAAAAAAAAAAAAACUUUCAGAAGAGCGUGAAGGAAACACCGAAUCCCAAAUUGCUAAGCGCCGGAUAGCAGGACCGAUGAAGACAGGUAGCAGCCGAAGCAGAGAGCAGCUCGCCGUGUCAACAAUGCGCGAAUGGCUCUUUUGAUUCCAAACUCACGUUACAAUGACGCGUUAGCUGCAAGUCAGCAAGUGAUUAGUAUUAUACGUCGAGUGAUAAUUCGAGGCACGGUGACAGUUGUUUUUGAAUGACAGCGUAGCUUUAGGCUUACGGUCAACAUCUUGCAUUUGCAUUUGAAUUGAAUUCACCAUGAACUAUUCAUAAAGUGCUUUGCAUGAUAUUUUUUAAAAUAAUAAUUGACAUUUUUUCAAA